rnacentral:rRNA from 1 species
UACGGAGGGGGCUAGCGUUGUUCGGAAUUACUGGGCGUAAAGCGCACGUAGGCGGCUUUGUAAGUUAGAGGUGAAAGCCCGGGGCUCAACUCCGGAAUUGCCUUUAAGACUGCAUCGCUAGAAUUGUGGAGAGGUAAGUGGAAUUCCGAGUGUAGAGGUGAAAUUCGUAGAUAUUCGGAAGAACACCAGUGGCGAAGGCGACUUACUGGACACAUAUUGACGCUGAGGUGCGAAAGCGUGGGGGAGCAAACAGGG